rnacentral:rRNA from 9 species
AGUCAUAUGCUUGUCUCAAAGAUUAAGCCAUG